AUCCUUGUGGUUCAGAAAUAAUGAUGAUUGGUUUAUUCACAAAUUUUGUGAUAUGCGCGGCCUUACAUGUUACGACAUGCGCAUAAACCGUCUGAAU